rnacentral:rRNA from 2 species
UUAGCGCGGUGGUCCCACCUGACCCCAUGCCGAACUCAGAAGUGAAACGCCGUAGCGCCGAUGGUAGUGUGGGGUCUCCCCAUGCGAGAGUAGGGAAC